rnacentral:rRNA from 1 species
CAGUAACGCGUAGUCAAUCUACCCUAUGGACGGGAAUAACCUCGGGAAACUGAGAAUAAUGCCCGAUAGAACAUUAUGCCUGGAAUGGUUUAUGUUUCAAAUGAUUUAUCGCCAUAGGAUGGGACUGCGGCCUAUCAGUUUGUUGGUGAGGUAAUGGCCCACCAAGACUAUUACAGGUACGGGCUCUGAGAGGAGUAGCCCGGAGAUGGGUACUGAGACACGGACCCAGGCCCUAUGGGGCGCAGCAGGCGAGAAAACUUUGCAAUGUGCGAAAGCACGACAAGGUUAAUCCGAGUGGUUUCUGCUAAAGAAACCUUUUGUCAGUCCUAGAAACACUAACGAAUAAGGGGUGGGCAAGUUCUGGUGUCAGCCGCCGCGGUAAAACCAGCACCUCAAGUGGUCAGGAUGAUUAUUGGGCCUAAAGCAUCCGUAGCUCGUUUUGUAAGUUUUCGGUUAAAUCCAUGCGCUUAACGUAUGGGCUGCCGGGAAUACUGCAUAACUAGGAAGUGGGAGAGGUAGACGGUACUCGGGAGGAAGGGGUAAAAUCCUUUGAUCUCUUGAUGACCACCUGUGGCGAAGGCGGUCUACCAGAACACGUUCGACGGUGAGGGAUGAAAGCUGGGGGAGCAAACCGGAUUAGAUACCCGGGUAGUCCCAGCUGUAAACUAUGCAAACUCAGUGAUGCAUUGGCUUAUGGCCAAUGCAGUGCUGCAGGGAAGCCGUUAAGUUUGCCGCCUGGGAAGUACGUACGCAAGUAUGAAACUUAAAGGAAUUGGCGGGGGAGCACCACAAGGGGUGAAGCCUGCGGUUCAAUUGGAGUCAACGCCGGAAAGGGCGAAUUC